UCGGGAAUUUUGGGCAAUGGGCGAAAGCCUGACCCAGCAACGCCGCGUGAAGGAUGAAGUAUUUCGGUAUGUAAACUUCGAAAGAAUAGGAAGAAUAAAUGACGGUACUAUUUAUAAGGUCCGGCUAACUACGUGCCAGCAGCCGCGGUAAUACGUAGGGACCAAGCGUUGUUCGGAUUUACUGGGCGUAAAGGGCGCGUAGGCGGCUUGUCAAGUCACUUGUGAAAUCUCUGGGCUUAACCCAGAACGGCCAAGUGAAACUGACAUGCUAGAGUGCAGAAGGGGCAAUCGGAAUUCUUGGUGUAGCGGUGAAAUGCGUAGAUAUCAAGAGGAACACCUGAGGUGAAGACGGGUUGCUGGGCUGACACUGACGCUGAGGCGCGAAAGCCAGGGGAGCAAACGG
rnacentral:rRNA from 1 species